UACGGAGGGGGCUAGCGUUGUUCGGAAUUACUGGGCGUAAAGCGCACGUAGGCGGCUUUGUAAGUUAGAGGUGAAAGCCCAGGGCUUAACCCUGGAAUUGCCUUUAAGACUGCAUCGCUAGAAUCGUGGAGAGGUGAGUGGAAUCCGAGUGUAGAGGUGGAAAUUCGAUAGAUAUUCGGAAGAACACCACGUGGCGGAAGG
rnacentral:rRNA from 1 species